GUCCGUGUAGCGCAAUGGAGAGCGCGUUGGACUUUUAAUCCAAAGGUCGUGGAUUCGAGUCCCGCCUGGGAUG